CCCUUAGAUGUUCUGGACCGCACGCGUGCUACACUGAGUGGAUCAGCGGGUCAGGUUGCGCGAAAGUGUUUCCUAAUCUUUAAAUCCGCUCGUGAUGGGGAUUGACGGUUGCAAUUUUCCGUCAUGAACGAGGAAUACCUUGUAAGCGCGGGUCAUCAUCCCGCGCUGAAUACGUCCCUGCCCUUUGUACACACCGCCCGUCGCUCCUACCGAUUGAGUGGUCCGGUGAGGCUUUGGGAUCUGAGCGGAAAGAGCGUUUCGCUGUUUCUGCCCGGAAAACUCAGUCGAACCUUAUCAUUUAGAGGAAGGAGAAGUCGUAACA
rnacentral:rRNA from 1 species